rnacentral:rRNA from 1 species
UGCGUAGGCGGUAGAUUAAGUUGGAUGUGAAAUACCCGGGCUUAACUUGGGGGUGCAUUCAAAACUGGUUUACUAGAGUGCAGGAGAGGGAAGCGGAAUUCCUAGUGUAGCGGUGAAAUGCGUAGAUAUUAGGAGGAACACCAGUGGCGAAGGCGGCUUUCUGGACUGUAACUGACGCUGAGGCACGAAAGCGUGGGGAGCAAACA